rnacentral:rRNA from 1 species
CUACUCUAAGCAAUGGAUCACUUGGCUCGUGGGUCGAUGAAGAGCGCAGCCAACUGCGUGAAUUAAUGUGAAUUGCAGGACACCUUGAACAUCGACAUCUUGAACGCACAUUGCGGCCGCGGGUUUUCCUGCGGCCAUGUCUGGCUGAGGGUCGGCUU